CUCCGUAGCUUUGAGGAAAAAGCGUUUGUUUAUCGAAUUGGAAGUGGUGGGUUCGAUUCCCACCGGAG
rnacentral:tRNA from 1 species